GUGCUCACUUAGGCAGCACAUUUACUAAAAUUGGAACCCAGAGAGAAGAUUAGCAUGGCCCCUGAGCAAAGAAAGACACACAACUCUGUGAAGCGUUCCAUAUAUUU